rnacentral:rRNA from 1 species
UACGGACUGAGAUAAUGGUUAACAGAGACAAACGGGGGCAUUUGUAUGGCCCCGUGAGAGGUGAAAUUCUUGGACCGUGGCCGGACAAACUACAGCGAAAGCAUUUGCCAAGAAUGUCUUCAUUAAUCAAGAACGAAAGUCAGAGGUUCGAAGGCGAUCAGAUACCGCCCUAGUUCUGACCGUAAACGAUGCCAACUAGCGAUCCGCUGAUGGAAAUUAUAUUGCCUUGGUGGGGAGCUUCCCGGAAACGAAAGUCUUCCGGUUCCGGGGGAAGUAUGGUUGCAAAGCUGAAACUUAAAGGAAUUGACGGAAGGGCACCACCAGGAGUGGAGCCUGCGGCUUAAUUUGACUCAACACGGGGAAACUCACCCGGCCCGGACACUGUGAGGAUUGACAGAUUGAUAGCUUUUUCAUGAUUCAGUGGAUGGUGGUGCAUGGCCGUUCUUAGUUCGUGGAGUGAUUUGUCUGGUUUAUUCCGAUAACGAGCGAGACUCUAACCUACUAAAUAGUUGGUACAUACUCUUUGUGUAUACAGCUUCUUAGAGGGAUUUGCGGCGUUCAGCCGAAAGAAAUUGAGCAAUAACAGGUCUGUGAUGCCCUUAGAUGUCCGGGGCUGCACGCGCGCUACACUGGCAAAAUCAACGUGCUUGUCCUACCCUGAAAGGGGCGGGUAAACCAUUGAAAAUUUGCCGUGAUUGGGAUCGGAAAUUGCAAUUAUUUUCCGUGAACGAGGAAUUCCAAGUAAGUGCGAGUCAUCAGCUCGCGUUGAUUACGUCCCUGCCCUUUGUAUACACCGCCCGUCGCUGCCCGGGACUGAGCCAUUUCGAGAAAUUUGGGGACCGUUGAUUUAAUUUAUCUAAAUUAUUUUGAUGGAAACCAAUUUAAUCGCAGUGGCUUGAACC